CAACGCUCUGGAAGGCUUCCCAGCCAUCUUACAGCUCUCCAAACUCAAAGAAGUCACUGGAUUUGUCAAAAGGCUCAGGAGAAAGACAUACCUUUCCAACAUGGCAAAGACGAUGAAAAUGGUCCUGAAGAACAGCCGGAGAGUCGGCCUCUUGAAGUCGGACCUGCGCGCCAUCAUCAGCGAGGGCACUCUGGAUAUUUCCAAGAAGGUCCUGGCAGGGGACUCGGGCCAUGAAGAGGAGCUGGAAAGCCGCACAGAGA